GGUUGGCCAGUACCUGUUGAAGCAACCUCUGCUGCCUCAGUUAAUCCCUGCCACAGUUGCAGCAGAUGGAAGCUCCUGCAGAAGGUGACUUGAAGGGACUCUGUUGACAUUCAGGCCUAGACCCUUGAAGUGCUUGGUGGUGUACUGAGGAAAGUUCUUGGAUCCCAAAGCAAGAAGCAAAGCCACAUGGUGUGUGGGAUGUACUCCCUCUGUCGUUCCAGUGGUGUUGCUCCCAGGAGCCUGAUGUGAUAGAGACCCUCCUUGUCUGUGGGACUGGCGUCAGAUGUGAACCCUUAUGGCUAAGUGUGCAAUCGCAGCAAUUGAGUGGGUUCUGCACGUCAGGGGCUGAGAGCUGAUGGGAAGAAGGAGGGAGAGGAACCCUGGAAAACUCUGUGUUGUAGGAGGACAAGGAUGGAUGACAGGCUGCCUCCAGGCUUUGAAAAGAGGUGCGGAAAAGCUUAAGGAAUUAACGAGGACUACUGGGAAAUCACUUGCAAGGAACUUUCAGUGCUCUCAGCCCAGGAAAGAAAUAGGAAGAAAAUCCUUUAUAUGGUGGCUGGAAGGGUGAAAGCUGCAUUUCCCCACGCCGGGGGCUGUGGAGGAGGCAGAGGCAGAUACCUGGGGCUCCCUGGCAGCUUUUGCUGAAGAUCAGCCUUGAUCAGAAUAGGUCUUCUCACAGGAAAUAUCAACUUUUUGUCAAAAAAAAGCCUGAAGAUAAAUAUUCUUGGAUGAAAUCCUAUAAAAAGCUCAGACUGACAAACUAUUUUUUCAGGCACUUCUUUUUCUCCCAACAAGAAUAUAUCUGUCAAGAGAAACAGAUGUUCUCUAUGAAAAAUCUUCUUUAAUUACAAGUCUGUCAAAAAGAGGUUGAGCAGAAGCAAAGCCAAUAGCCAAAACACAUUGAUAAACCCACAACCGGCAGCUGAAAGCCCCCUUCAGAGCUUAGGACAUCUGCACAUCACACCAAAUGUUGCAUAAUAAAAUAAGAAUGUCUGAAAUCUUGCAUUUCCAGAAAUCUUCAAGUGUCUCAAGCCUCAAAUCUGUGAAUGGUUUCAGCCCCGGGCAGGAAAUCGCCCCUUUCCUGAGCAGCUCAGCUCUUGUCAUGUCAUCCCUGCAGCUGCACCAAUAAACUGGGAAUUUUGGGAGUUUAGCUUUCAGAUGAGCCCGCUUCAAAUCAAUGGAGCUGCUGCUUUUCGUGACUCCUGGGAAUAAGAUGGCAUGGAAACAACCCACAGCCAUGCCCGAAUAAGAAAACUAAAAGAAUUAUUAGUUUUGGUCAAGCUGGAGCAUGGCUCUUUCUUGCCCUGGCAUUUUCCUAGAAGUAAGUGAAACUCUUCAUCUACAGAUUCAAAAGAAUCCCAAAGGCACUCUGUCAGACAUCUCCCAACAUGCUCUCUCAGUUAUUGCUGGAUGGAUCACAAGUUCUCCAGGGAGCAGUGAAGAUGUUUUUGUGGGUUGCAAAGCCAUGGUUGAGGCUCAAAGGCUGAAAAUACUCAAUUCUAGUGUCUGCUUCUGCUUCCAGAGGAGAUAUCAGCUCUUUGUCUUUGUUGUCUUCUUUGUCUUUGUAUUCAUUGUCUUCAGCUUUGUCUUUGCUUUGUCUUUGUCUUCCUUCUCCAUUUUUCUCUCUCUGCUCCUCCUUUUCCUCCAGCUCCUAAAUCCCCACCUCCCCUCCUUUUCUUCUCCCCAUCAUGUGUUGCAUGCUGAGUGCAGGAGGCUCUCAAAGGCAAGAGCAGGCUUGGGACGCUCUUACCCACAACAGCAGCAGUGAACAGAACCCAGGUUUUCAGCCAGGAAAUUGCACUGGUAAUCUCCUUUGAGGGAGGCACUCCCAUUUUUCAUGAUGGUUGGCCCUUGUGGGAUAUGGAUGAAAAGAGAAAGCAUUUCAUUUGCUCUUUGAAAACGAGCUAUAGAUCAAGGCCCUGCUCAUUCCCCUGAAGACUAGAAAUGGGAUUUUUGCAAGAAUUGAGGCUAUCCUCUCUGAAAACUAAAACAGUUAUCUACACUUUCAUCGAGAGGUCAGCAGUAGAGAUUUUUCUCAAACAGCUGGAUAAAUCCAGGCUGUUAGUGCCUCUCCUUCCCACUCUCCUCUGUUAUUGCUUUUUAUUACACGAAGGGUGAGGAACAAGCAAAUACCUCUGCUUCCCAGCUUUGCCCUUGCCUGUUUGUACAAAGCAGCCAAAUAUUUCCUUCUGACACUCAGGACCCAAGUACCUUUGGUGUCUAUGAUUUUUCCCUUGGAUGCCGUGGUCUGGAUGCAGAUGCUCAGGGCUGCUUAAUCCUAGCGGUUGGCAUAGAAAUGUUAUUUAUUGGACACAGGCAUCCUCCAUGGGUGCCAUGGGACCAGGGCAUCCUUUGUCACCUGGACCCAGUGUGAUCUCCUAUGACACUGGGCAAGAGGGUUUGCGGAAUUACGCUGCAUCCUUUGCCUCUGCCACAACUGUGAUUGAGCCUGCCUGGCUUAAUUCAUUCCUCCAGAGCCCACACAGUUAUGGCAGAGAUGAUUGCCUGCUCAAGGAGCAGCACUUGGGAUGAAAUCUUUUCCUCUUGAGAGUGCUGCAGGAAAAACAAGGCAGCGUCCAUGAGCUGCCAGCAUCUCUGUGUAGGCAGUGUCUUUCCUUGGCCACUUCUUUGCCAUGCUCUCAUCCUUCCUGACCUCUCCCUUUCUCUCCUUUAAAUCCUUUUCUCUUUGUUUCAUUUCUGCCUAUGUCUCUUCCUAUUCAGCUUCCUUGCUAGGCGCUGGAGCUGAUUGCAAUGGUGAUCCAGCAAAUCACAGUAGUGAUGCUGCUGAUGGAAUAACUCCUUGGGUUUCCGUGCAGUUGCUGUGGGGGCACUGAGUUUCAGACAGCAGAAAAGGAGCAGGAAAAUCUGAUGUUUUGUGCAUCAACCAGAGCUUUCAUCCUCACGUUGGGAGAUGGGUUUC